CUGGGGGCCAGGGAGCCUCCCCACCACCCCUCCUCGGCCCACUGGCAGGUAGACCACCCUCCCGAAGAACAAAGCGUGGCCUGGCAGAGCCAUUCUCAUGCAACGGGAAAAUAGGAUUAGGCCAAAGUAUCCGCAAGGAAGCAAAAGUGGCUCCUGGCUACAUUUGGGUCUCCACUUAAUACACCGCAGGACCGCCGGUUUCCAGGACUCUGAGAUGCAGCCGCACACAGCACGGACAGCAAGCAACGGGAAGCUUCCUUUCUGUUUCUGUGGAAGGCACAACAAGGGCCCUCUCAUCUCCCAAACUUGGUGUUAACUCCGGGGUGUAAAUGCCUUUGAGAAAAUGCCCACUGCACCUCCUCCAGGCGGCUGAGCUGUUCACACAGGCUCUGCACCAGCUCUGCCCUUUACGGCAUGCGGCAUGUACGCAUCUCCUGUGUAAGGCACGAGUAGAAGGUGAGCCAGGGGCCAUGCAUAAGCUGAACAACGCGGGGUUUUGUG
rnacentral:lncRNA from 1 species